UCGAUUCCUAACUCAUUCCUUCCCCGAUCUCCCCUGCUCGAAGCCGCGCCCUUCUCCCCUCUCUUCUUCCUGAUCUCUCCUCUGUGCUCACUCUCGCGGACGAGCGAUACCACGGGAUUAGGGUUCCAGCUCCGGCGAUCUUUCCUCGCCGGCAUCGACAUCUAUUGAGCUUCGAUCCAACCGCAGACCUUCUCUCUCGCGGACGGUCCGACGACCUCUCGGUGGCUAGGGCACGGCGAGGAGCCGGAUCUUGCAUCCUCUUCAACCGCUCUGUUCCAGUGUCGUUGCCGACCUUGAAGUUAAGCAACCGAUUCCUUCUCGUCUCUUGGUUGUCGCCUAUCUUUGAGGGAGGGGAGGUUCUGUGAAGGUGAUCUUGGAUCCCUUCUAUGUUGCUGUUGACUGAGGUCCCGGUUGGAGGUGAUGAGGUUGUGUACUGUUGGUGUUCUUGAUCUCACCUUGAACCCAAUUGAAUAGGGAAGGAUUUCAGGAGGAUUAUGUUCUGUGGAAACCAGUGAGGAUCUGAGAAGGUGAUCUUGGUUCCGAUAGGAAUAACCAUUUGAUCCAGCAUCAAUAGCAGCUGGGACUUGAGGACUUUGAUUCGAGACGGGCGUCUCGACGUUGACUUUGGAUUUGGAUUGACUGUACCUUCUCUUUGAGGCCGGUACCCUCUGACUUAUCUUUUGAUAAUGUCUUAUGAUAUGUGUAGCUUAUAUA